rnacentral:lncRNA from 1 species
AGAAUAAAGAAUUGCGGUUCGGGAUGAAGUCUCCAUAAAAUGUCAACUUCAGGCCCAUAGACUCAAUAUAUGUCACACAUAAUAUAUCUAAAUCUAAGGACUGUCCAUGGGGGUUUACCCCCAUGUUCAGGUUAAGGACUGGCCAUAUGGGUUUUGCGCUCCGAUUGGUCAGGGUAAGACUAGCUGUCCACUAAUGCCUUUGGUCUGGUUAAGGACUGUCCAUAGGGGUUUUGCGCUCCGAUUGGUCAGGGUAAGGACUGUCCAUACUGGGGUUUCGUGCUCCAGUUGGUCAGGUUAGGACUGUCCAAGUGAAUCUUGGUCAGAUUAUCAGCAGCCAGUUCAGAAUCUGUGCAGCUAA